rnacentral:rRNA from 1 species
GACGGAGGGUGCAAGCGUUGGUCGGAAUCACUGGGCGUAAAGAGCGUGUCGGCGGUUUGAUAAGUCGCAUGUGAAAGCCCGAGGCUCAACCUCGGAAGUGCAUUCGAAACUGUCAGGCUUGAGUACGGGAGAGGGAAGUGGAAUUCCUGGUGUAGAGGUGAAAUUCGUAGAUAUCAGGAGGAACACCGGUGGCGAAGGCGGCUUCCUGGACCGAUACUGACGCUGAGAAGCGAAAGCGUGGUGAGCAAACAGG